rnacentral:lncRNA from 1 species
GGCCAACCAACUCAUGAUGAACUCAAUACAACAACGAGGGGACGAUUUCAAUUUCAUCACUCUGAACUCUUAAUUUAAAAGCUUCCUUGUGAGGAGCAAGUCUCUGUCAAAGAAAUCAUGAUAUGAAAAACAAGCCCUAGAUUAUUAUAUCAACUGGCCCAUGGAUAUAUAUACUUCUAAUGCAGGCGCUGAUGGAAUGUAGGUACAUAGAUAUGGAAAGUUAACAAUUGGAAAGUUGAAAUCAUAUAUUUCGUUCCAAAGUUUUGUUUUUAACCGACUCUGAUUUUCAAUUUAUAGAUGUAAGUCAAGGUACUCGAGGAUAUAAAUCAUUUUUUUUAUAUAGGAUUUCGCUAUAUUUGUCGGCAAGAAGUAGGAAUAAACAUGUGCAAAUCAUAUUCAGGAAAGUGCACGAUUUGGCACAACCGAAACUGUAAAUGUAUUUUUUUUCAAUUAAUUACAUGAAAUGGAAAACAAUGUUUUUGUGUUUUGUCAGUGGCUGAGGCACAUUUACAAAACCGGGGUUCUAGACAGAUCCGACGAAUAAUAAAGGGAUUAGGCGUAUGCAAAUAUCUAGAAAAUUUAUGUAAGCGAACAACGAUUACUUCAUUAGAGAUCACACUUAAUCAAAACUUUUUAGUUAGUAUUCCGAAUUAAGUUUUGCGAACACAGC